GUGGGGAAUAUUGCACAAUGGGCGCAAGCCUGAUGCAGCAACGCCGCGUGAGGGAUGACGGCCUUCGGGUUGUAAACCUCUUUUAGUAGGGAAGAAGCGAAAGUGACGGUACCUGCAGAAAAAGCACCGGCUAACUACGUGCCAGCAGCCGCGGUAAUACGUAGGGUGCAAGCGUUGUCCGGAAUUAUUGGGCGUAAAGAGCUCGUAGGCGGCUUGUCGCGGCUGCUGUGAAAACCCGAGGCUCAACCUCGGGCCUGCAGUGGGUACGGGCAGGCUAGAGUGCGGUAGGGGAGAUUGGAAUUCCUGGUGUAGCGGUGGAAUGCGCAGAUAUCAGGAGGAACACCGAUGGCGAAGGCAGAUCUCUGGGCCGUAACUGACGCUGAGGAGCGAAAGCAUGGGGAGCGAACAGGAUUAGAUACCCCUGUAGUCC
rnacentral:rRNA from 1 species